CUCCAGAGACUCAAAUAUCUCAAAUAUUCCAGCAGGAACUGGAAGCAGCUGUUUCAGCCAGUAAUCGUGAGAGGCUUCAGGACGAGCUGGAGGAGGCGAAAA